UACGGAGGGGGCUAGCGUUGUCCGGAAUUACUGGGCGUAAAGAGCUCGUAGGUGGUUUGUCGCGUUGUUCGUGAAAACUCACAGCUUAACUGUGGGCGUGCGGGCGAUACGGGCAGACUGGAGUACUGCAGGGGAGACUGGAAUUCCUGGUGUAGCGGUGGAAUGCGCAGAUAUCAGGAGGAACACCGGUGGCGAAGGCGGGUCUCUGGGCAGUAACUGACGCUGAGGAGCGAAAGCGUGGGGAGCGAACAGG
rnacentral:rRNA from 1 species